rnacentral:rRNA from 1 species
AAUGAACGCUGGUGGCAGACCUAACACAUGCAAGUCGAACGGUCUAUAUUAAACUUCGGUUUUUUAUAGAUAGUGGCAAACGGGUGAGUAAAGCAUGGGAAUCUACCUAGAAGUUUGGAAUAGCUAUUAGAAAUGAUAGAUAAUACCAAAUACACCUCGAGAGGGAAAGUUGACUUCGGUCUUCGCUUUUAGAUGAGCCCAUGUUAAAUUAGUUAGUUGGUAGGGUAAUGGCCUACCAAGAUGAUGAUUUAUAGCUGGUCUUAGAGGAUGAUCAGCCACACUGGAAUUGAGAUACGGUCCAGACUCCUACGGAAGGCAGCAGUGAGGAAUAUUGGACAAUGGGCGAAAGCCUGAUCCAGCAAUACCGCGUGAGUGAUGAAGGCUUUAGGGUUGUAAAACUCUUUCAGUAGGGAUAAUAAUGAUGUUACCUACAGAAGAAGCACCGGCUAACUCCGUGCCAGCCGCCGCGGUAAU